UACUGCCGAAACUUUCAGAAAGCCAUGGCUAGGGUUUCAAGCUUUUUCAAAGUUCAAUUAUCGAAGAAAUCGAGAUUUGGACCAAGUACGGGGAAAUAUAAAUCAAAAUGAUCGAUUCGCGUUGAGCUAGCAAAGAACCAGAAGCAUCGGCAUGGAAGGGAAAAGAGAAGAUUAUCGAGGAGUAAACUCGAGAAAAUCACGGUCAUUAGAUUUCAAGGUCUAGUUCAGCAUCCAGAAAGAUCUCGACUCCAACAAGAAAAUUUCGGUGAUGUUUUCUUCCUUAAAUGAAAGUGGCA